rnacentral:rRNA from 1 species
AACGAACGCUGGCGGCAUGCCUAACACAUGCAAGUCGAACGAGACCUUCGGGUCUAGUGGCGCACGGGUGCGUAACGCGUGGGAACCUGCCCUUGGGUUCGGAAUAACUCCCCGAAAGGGGUGCUAAUACCGGAUAAUGUCUUCGGACCAAAGAUUUAUCGCCUUUGGAUGGGCCCGCGUUGGAUUAGCUAGUUGGUAGGGUAAAAGCCUACCAAGGCGACGAUCCAUAGCUGGUCUGAGAGGAUGAUCAGCUACACUGGGACUGAGACACGGCCCAGACUCCUACGGGAGGCAGCAGUGGGGAAUAUUGGACAAUGGGCGAAAGCCUGAUCCAGCAAUGCCGCGUGAGUGAUGAAGGCCUUAGGGUUGUAAAGCUCUUUUACCCGGGAUGAUAAUGACAGUACCGGGAGAAUAAGCUCCGGCUAACUCCGUG